GGCUGGGCUGGGACAGGUGCUGCAUCGAGCAGUGGAGGAGCCCUCCUCCCGCAAGCCUGGUGUGUAUCCAGAUUAAAACAAAGGAGGAUCCGUAACAUGCUGCUUAGCAACAAAAAGGAAUGAGCUGUGGAUCCACUCGACAGCCGGCUUGAAUCCCCAUGGAAUUACACUGAGUGAAAAAAGCCAAUCCCAAAAGGUUACGUACUGUAUGAUUCCAUUUCUUGAAAGGACGAAUUAUAGAAAUGAAGAGCAGAUUAGCGGUUACCAGGAGUUAGGGAGGGAAGUGGCUGUGGCUAUAAAAAGGAUCUGCGGUGAUGUAAAUGAUCUCUCUGGCUGUAUCUGUGUCGAUUGUCUGUGUUGGUGUGUGGUGUAGUUUUGCUAGGUGUUGGGGAAAGCUAGAUAAGAGGUUGUGAGGGGAAUGGGAAAAUAAACAAGGAGAGAAAUGAAUUACAGUAGAUGGGGUAGAGAGAGAAGAUGGGAGGGGAGGGAGGGGGGAUAGUAGAGGAUAGGAAAGGUAGCAGAAUACAACAGUUACUAAUAGGGCAUUAUGUAAAAAUGUGGAUGUGUAACCGAUGUGAUUCUGCAAUCUGUAUUUGGGGUAAAAUUGGGAGUCCAUAACCAACUUGAAUCUAAUGUAUGAAAUAUGAUAUGUCAAGAGCUUUAUAAUGUUUUGAACAACCAAUAAAAAAAAUAAAUUAAAAAAAAAAGGUGUAUGGGUUAAAAAAAGAAAUUUAAUUGACACAAUUAAGUUCAGGGCUGAAGGACAUCCCCAAGAAAGUGAAAGAGCCUAUGGUUAGUUGGUGGGUGGGAGGGAGUUUAGAGGGUACUGGUGAGCAGUUUGGGCUAAUUGUCUCUUUUUUCAGCCUUUUUCUGGUGCCACCUUAUUUGGUAGCCCACCUGCCAUUGUGGCCCCUCCCAAGGACCCUGGCCCUCUCCAAGCUUGUUUUUGGUGUCCUGGGAUGGUCUAUUCAUGCUUAGAGCAGAGAGAAGCUUUUGCCUGCGUUUAUAAUGUUCCUAGUGAAACUUGCUGUUGAUUGUACUCCAUGUCAGUUCUUGGUUCUUCUCUGCUUAGAUUUAAGGCUUUGGGUUUUAGAUUUCUUUUCACUUUUUACCUACAGUGGAACAUCACAGUGUUGAGUCAGGUUGGUCUGUCUGCUGCUGCUGUGAAUUCCUGGUAUUCAGAGGUGGGAAUAUGGCCUGAGAUGCCCUCAUAACGCUGUGUGCUCCCCAGCCAGAAAACCGGGCAUCCUUAUCUUGUGAGCCCAAAUCCUAGAGGUCAUCUUCAUUUUGGAAUAGAAAAGCAAGUGUAGGGAGCUUUAGUACCCGGUCCUUGGUCAUGCAUGACUGUGGUACAGCACUGCCACUUUGUGGUAGAUAGGAGAAAUCACAGAUGUGGACUGAGCCAGCCGCUUUCUGCUUGGGACUGGAAGCUGGAAUGCCUACAAUCCCUGGGUUUUUUGAACGUUGUAAAUUGAAUGGUGGUUGACUCUAGGACAAUUUAGUAGAAGGCCGUUUUAAAAGGGAAAGAAAAGAACUUCCUGCUAAUCUGGUAUUGUUGCAAUUAUUGCCAACAUGUGAGAUGUGACAUUUUUGUAUUCUUGAGUUUUAGGAGGAUGUCUGUGCUCUCAAAAUGAGAUUAGAGUUAGUAUCAAUGACAAGCAUCACCUCUAGGGGCUUGAAGAUUUCCAUUUUUUCAUUUCAUCUUUAAGUUGAAGAAAUGCAAAAAUAGGAUUAAGUAUUUAAGCAAGGAGGCAGAUAAUCCAGUUAUACAUUUCCUCUUCUCAACUCCCCAUAUUUUAUUUAAGAAUAAAAUGGAACAUAGUGAAACUACCUUAAGGCCAAGCAAAUUAGCUAAGCUAUCAAAGAGCUGGUAAUUUUGGAUUUCAUUUAAUGAUAGCUCUUGCCCUCCUGUCAACAGCAUCCACUUUCCUUUGGGAAACUGAUUUUUUUAAAAUAUCAUUUGUGUGUGUGUGUGUGUGUGUGUGUGUGUGUGAUGCUAUUUGCCAUUUACCAUUUUAAAGUGUACAAUUCAGUGGCAUUGAUUACAACCAUUAUGGCCAUUUAUUUCCAAAAACUUUCCAUCACACCUAACAAAAACUGUGUUCCCAUUUGCUCUCCUUGGGAUCUUGAAUGUCCUCCAAAGGCACAUAUGUUGAAGGCUUAGUCCCCAGCCCAUGGUGUACUGGGAGGUGGUAGAAUCUUUAGGAGAUUGGGUCUAGGUGAAGGAAGUUAGGUAUUGGAGGCAUGCCCUUGAAGGGAUAUUGGUACCCUGAUCCCAUCCCCUUCCUCUCUAUUUCCCCACUACAGUGAGGUGAACAGCCACUCCCCCUCAUGCUCACUGCCAUGAUAUGCUGCCUUGACAUAGGCCCAAAAGUAAGAAAGUCAAUCAACUGUGGACUGAGACUUCUGAAACCAUGAGCCAAAAUAAACAUUUCCUUCUUCAAGUUGAUUUAUCUCAGGUAUUUUGUCACAGUGAUAGAACACUAACACACUAUUUAACAAUAACUUCCCACUCUCCCCUCCUCCCAUCUGUAGGAGUCCAGCUCUGGCAGGGGGUCUCAGGAGACAAAUGGAUGGUGAGGAGUCAGGGAAACGGGGUGGAGAAACAACACAGACACAAAAGUGAAGGUGCUGAAUCCCAAUCUUUACUUGUGAAGUUAAUCAUAUAUACUCUGCGUUUUGGCAGGCUCGAAGUAUUUUGUGGUUACAAAACAGGAAUCAUUAUUCAAAGAAACAAAAUAUUAUGUAGCUACAAUUAGAUAAGAAGAAUGUAUCUUGGCUUAUGCAUAAGCAAGCAUUUUUACUUUCAGUUCCCGUUUUGCUUUGAGCUGUUUCUGCUUAGUUAGCUUUUAAUAAUAGUUAGAAAUGUCCCAGACUAUUGGCCUGUACCUUGACUAUUCUUUCUUGACUUACUGACUAGAACCGGCGCUGCAGUUAUGGCAGAUGGUUCACUUGAAAAGAGAGGCUACUAAUUUUAAUCAAACGAGCAAGAGCACAAACCAUUGUGCACAGGAACAAGAACAAGUUACCCAGUACUAAGCACUAAUCUUUCUUCUUAAUAUUAAUUCUUCUUCUCUAGAUUUAAUUUAAUUUCUCAAAAACUUCCUUGACUGUUUUUCCCACAGGGAGUUUCUCAUUAAACAUUAACAAUUUACUUUCCACAGCUGAAUCGUUGCAUUUAGAGCAAACAGAUUUAUUCUUUAGAAGUAGUUGCAUUAAUUGGGAAAGUCACUUUUUUUCCUUCAUACUUAAUGGUCAUAUGAGAAGUCGCAACUAUACUUAUUAAAAGAAUACAAAAACAAACCAGCCAAUUCCUAGAAGCAUACUGCACUCCUCCAGAGAAUGGACGCCUUGUGCCUUCCACCUCAGUAGGGCCUUGCCAUUGCCUGAGUCAGGGGAGGGGCGCAGCACCCAUCCACUGGAAACUUAAUAAAUUUGUCUAUCAUAUAUAUUUCAUAUAAUAGGGGUUCUUUUCACUUAGCUUACUUCCCUUGAAAACCAUGUUGUCAGGCUUCACCCAUGUUGUAGCAUAUACCAGAGCUUCAUUCUGUUCUCUGGAUGAAUAAUAUAAAAAGCGCAUACCACAUUUUAUUUAUCCAUUCAUCUGUUGACAGACACUUAGGUUGUUUGAGUAUUGUGAAUAGUGCUUCAAACAUAAUUUUUAUACAAGUAUCUGGUUGAGUCCCUGUGUUUGGGCCUUUGGGGUAUAUAAAUAAGAGUAGAAUUAUAGAGUCAUAUGGUUAAUUCAGCAUAUAGCUUUUUGAGGAGCAGUGAGUGACUACACCACUUUACGUUUCCACCAGCAGUAUUACAAGGGUUCUGAUUUUUCUACAUCUUCAUCAACAAUUUUACGUUCUUCUUUUUUCUAAAUAUAGCCAUCCUAAAAGGUGAGAGAAGAGGUAUUUCAUUGUGGUUGUAUUUUUGUUUUUGUUGUUUGGUGCUGGGGAUUGAAUCCAGAGCCUCAUGCCUGCUAAGCAGAUAUUCUACCACUGAGCUGCAUCCUCAACCCCUCAUUGUGUUUUUGAUUUACACUUUCCUAAAAACUAAUGAUAUUGAAUAUCUUUUCUUGUGUUUAUUGACUAUUCAUAUUCCUUCUUUGGAGAAAUAUCUAUUCAAGUCCCUGGUUCAUUGUUGAAUUGGGUUGGUUGUCUCUAUGUUGUUCAUUUGUAGAACUUCCUUAUGUAUUCUGGAUAUUAUCAUCUUAGAGGAAAGUUUGAUUUUGGCUAAGAGUUUUAGAGGUUUUAGUCCAUAAUUAGUUGACCUGUUGCUUUGGGUGAGCAAGCACAACAUGGUAGAAAUGUGUGGUAGAGCAAAAGUGUUCACCUUGUGGCUGAGAAGUGAAGAGGAAUGAUAAGAGACUAGGGUCCCACAGUCCCUUUCUGUGGUACACCCUGAGUGACCUGAACAUUCUCCACUGGGUCACACCUCUUAAUCUUCUACCAUCUCCUAGUAGCACUGUUCUGAGGACCAAGCCUUUCACACAUGGGUUUUGGUGGGGCAUUUAAAAUUCAAACUAUAUCAAUAGGCUUUGACACAUACAAGUUUUUAAUUUUAAUUAAAUCCAAUUUAUCAAAUUUUUUUGUUGUUGUUCUACUUGGACUUUCUGUUCAUAUCUAAGAACCCAUUGCCAAACUCAAGGUGAUGAGUUUCAAGAAACUCCUAUGGUUUCUUCUUAGAGUUUUAUGGUUUUAACCCUUAUAUUUAGGUCAUUGGUUUGACUUAUUUUUUUUUUAUAGAGUAUGAAGUAGGGGGCCAACCUUACUCUUGGGUAUGGAAAUCCAGUUGUUCCAGCAUGAUACAUUGAAAAACUGUUCUUUUCCCCAAUGAAUGGCGUUGGUAUUUGUAAAAAGUCAAUUGGCCAUAAACAUAUGGGUUUUUUUGAGGAUCCCUGGUGUAUCAAGUAUUACAUCUCUCUUGCUGUUUUUAAUACUCUCUUUUGUCUUAUAACCAGUUUGAUUAUAAUAUAUCACAGUUUCAGAGGUUCAGUCCACUGUUGGCUGACUCCACAGCUCUGGGCCCUGAGUGAAGCAGAACAUCACAGAGAAGGAUGUGGUGGAGAGAAACAGCUCAGUAGAAGGCAAACAGGAACCAGAGAGAGACAGUUCUGCUCACCAGGGACAAAAUAUAAACCCCAAAGUCAUGUGCUUGUGAUAUACUUCCUCUACAUACAGCAUAUAUGCCUACAGUUACCACUCAGUUAAUCCGCAUCAGUGGAUUAAUCCACAGAUUAGGUUAUAUCUCUUAUAACCCAAUCAUUUUGCCUCUGAAAAGUCAUGCAUUGUCUUCCAAGUGAGCCUUUGGGGGACACUUCAUAUCUAAACCACAACAAUACUAUGGCUUGGUACCAACUUUCAAUUGAUUAAUUUGCUUAUCAGCCAGGUUUCUAUUAGGACUGACAUGACUUAAUCAUGUGAUUCUGAACAUUUUGAAUACUUAAACUGAGCAUUGGUUUCUCAUGCAGUACAUAAUCUGCCUUAUUUUUUUUUUUUGUGGGUGUGUGGUGUCCAAUUUUCAUAUAUGCUAGAUAUUACAUAAAUGUAAAUUCUCAUGGCCUUACUAUUGUAUAGAAAACAUGUUCAGAUUAUUUAGUAAGACAUGUGAAACUGAAGAGAAUGGUAAAUACAACUGUAGAUAAUAAAAUAUUAGAUUCAAGCUCUUGUAACAUGCAGGCUUCUUUCAAACAGUGCAGUUUCUGACCUGUAGCUGUUGUCACAUUAUUGAUGCAUGACAUUUACAGAUGUUGUUAACAGUUAAUAAUCAGGUCUAGAACACUCUCAAACUGCAAAAGAAUGUGCUUUGAAACAAAUGUGUCAUUAAAAAAAUUUUUUUUAAAGUAAGUGAGUCUUGAAAUAAUGUACUUUGGAGAUCCUAGUAUAUCAAUGCAGGUAAAAUGUAAAAUGUUAUUCUAUUUUUAUUUAUUUAUUUAUUUAUUUAUUUUAGAGUGGAAAGUAGAAGCUUUAUUAAAGGACAGCAGAAAAGACUUCUCCCUAGAGGAAGAAGGGUACCUAAAAGGUGGAAUCCAUGGAAGGGGGAGGUCUUCCCUCUUUUAUAGCUAAGGUCUACUUUCAGCUUUCCUGCAUUCCUGUUGCAUUCCUGUCCUUUGUUCUCUGUUAUCUUGCAGUGAUGGAAUAUAGGUGGGAAGGCCCAAAAGGUGGGGGACAGGUGAGCUGAUGGAGUAAUCUGGGCAGGGAGGGCCUGGGGAGGCCUUUGGAUUAGCGUCUCCAAGUUUGCUGGGAGCUGCUUCAUUAACAUUUCCUUGGGAUGGGCUGGGGGGCCUUGGGGACAUUAACAUUUCAAUUUCCCCAAGUGCUGCUCUGGUUUCCUGGACUCCAUUUUCUAUAAUGGCCUUCAUUCUUGAUUUUACUCGAUAUUAGACCUGAUUUACCUAACUACACUAACUACCUAUCUGUAAAUCUGGCUUCAUUCCCCCCUCUAAUUUUGGGAACUCCUUACUGCUGUGAGGAAAGAGGGCCAUGACCGUUCUGUCUUCUUUGAGCUCAAAGGGGACAGUAUUAAGCAAGCAGUUUUAGAGUCCCAGAGACCCUGGGAGGAUUCAGACUUAAGGGCCUUACUGCUUUCCUCCCUGCCACUAAAAACCCACAGCAAAAGAGAAUCGCACACUCUUCUUGUUGCCUUUUUGCUCCGUAGACUAAAGGAAUCUCCUGGGGAUGAGGGAUAUCUACGGGUUGUAAGGCAUAUAGCGCUUUCUAUCAGAGAGACUACUGGAAGAGUUGAUUCUAAAAAUGCCUCCCUCUAGCAGCUUAAAGAGAACACAGCACAUUCUAAACAUUGGAGCAGUAAUGGGAAAUUUUAAAACAGACCAGUGAAAGUUCCUAUGCACAUGAGGGGAACCUGGGCACCUUUCACUGAUCAUCCCAUGUCUUUCUUAGUCCUACAACCUGAAUUGCUAGCCUUUCUGACCGGUGAAGGAAGGGGAGCAUCCAGGAGGGAAUGGAUGCGGGUUUGGGAGUGUUGCGCAGCCCACAUGGAGGCAAAUGUGAUUGGGGCUUUCCCUCAGUGCCUUUCAUCUACCAAUCACCCCAGAUACCCCUUAGGGCUAUCGGGAGGGGGUUCAAGAGAAAGGAACCUUAGGAAUACAUCUGAGUGUAGCCCAGACCAGAAUUCUGCAGUUGUUCCAAACUCCUUCCUCCACCUCCACGCAUCCCAGGCAGAUUGGGAUUAGAGACACUGUGUACUCAGGUCAAUUGCUCUCCGGGCCCAGACAGAAAAGUGGGAAGUAGUUUUGGCAGAACCCAACAUGCCUGCUCUGUAUGGAGAGCUGCCUAGGCCGGGAAACCUCUCACCUGAAUCUUGAAGAGUGGUGGCUGCACUUACUGCGUUUUGUUGGGAAAACAUAACGGCGGCAGCACCCCAGAAAAAAAACCCCAUCAUGGCAUCUAAUGACCCUCUUUACCCUCUUUGUUUCUUUCACUGGCACGAAAUGUUCCCGCCGGCGCCAAUGUUCAAACCCUGCUGGUGGGAAGCCUUAGCCCCAAUUAGAAUUAACUUCUUGGGCUCCGGAACUGACAUAUGGAAGAGCUUGCCAAUAAACAGGCGACCUGUUAUCUACGUCAGCCCUGCAACCUCUCCUUAGACCUAUAUAAACACACAGCCUUUUGUAAUAAAGCGGAAACCUCUUUGGUGAUCUGUGUCGUGUGGUGCGGUGUCUUCCAGUCUUACAUGUUUAAGUAGCCAUUUGGUGCCCACAUCACCCUCCAGAAAGAAAGAUGCACCUCAGAUAGACGUGUGGUGUGUGUAGAGGCUCUUACCUCCGUGUAGAUCUCAGUGGGGAGCCUCCAAUCUGUAACCGCUGUUUACAGAUGACAAGUCCUUGCUUUCCCGAAUGCUAAAGUAUAACACCAGAGAAGCACACCGAGGCAAGUUUAGAGUGGAAAGUAGAAGCUUUAUUAAAGGACAGCAGAAAAGACUUCUCCCCGGAGGAAGAAGGGGACCCAAAAGGUGGAAUCCUAAAAUGUUAUUUUAAUCACAUAAACAAAUUUUCUCUUUAUGUGACUUUUUAUAGAUUUAUCUUUUUUUUUUUUUAAGAAAGAGAGAGAGAAAUUUUUAAUAUUUAUUUUUUAGUUUUCGGUGGAUACAACAUCUUUAUUUUAUUUUAUGUGGUGCUGAGGAUCGAAACCAGGGCCCCACGCAUGCCAGGUGAGCGUGCUAUCGCUUGAGCCACAUCCCCAGCCCAAGAUUUAUCUUUUUACAUUUCAGAAAUACUAUGCAAUUCAGUUGAAUGCCUAAUAAUUCUUGAGAUCACUGUAUUUUCAUUGUCAUUUCUAACACUUUUAUACAUCAAUUAGUGAAGAAACGUCUUCACUAAGGCCUGAUGUCUCAGGUAUAUUAUAUAAUAUAAAGGUAAAAGUGAUAUGUUACUGAUAAUCAUGAAGCUUUUCAAGAAUAUCAUUUGUGUUUUCACUGAAAAAUUAAAUUCCUCUUUUCUGCUGAUGACUUUUAAAAGAUUUAUGCUGACAUUCAUGGAAAAACUAGUGACGUCCAAAUGAAGUCGGAAGUUUAGUUAAUAGCAAGAAAUAAAUGUUAGCAUCUUCAGUUUGGCAAAUGUAUCAUAUAAGAUGACCAUCAGGGGAAAGUGUACUGGGAGAAUAAGAGGGCUCCCUGAAUUGUUCUUCCAAUUUUUCUAGGAAUCCAAAUAAAAAUUGUAUUAAAAUAACUGUUAUUUAUAAAUUUUGAAUUUUAUGAUCUCUGCUUUUAAAAAUCUUAUGAGCUAGCGGGGCAUGAUGGUACGUGCCUUUAAUCCCACCAAUUUGGGAGGCUGAGGUAGGAAGAUUGCAAGACUAAAGCCAGCCUCAACAACCUAGUAAGACCAGGUCUCCAAAUAAAAAAUAAAAAGGGCUGCGGAUGUAGAUCUGUGGUAAAGAACCUCUGGGUUCAAUCCCCAGUACCAAACAAAUGAUGAGCUAAAAGAAUACAUUUCUAGUGUAAUUAUUAUUAGUAGUAGUACCAGGGAUUGAUCCUAGAGGGCGCUCAAUCAUUGAGCUACAUUCAACCACCACCUCCUCUUCUUUUUUUUUUUGGAGUCAGGGCCUGGCCAAGUUGCUCUGAGGCUGGCUUUGAAUGUUCCAUACUCCUGCCUCAGUCUCUGGAGCUGCUGAGAUUACAGGUUACGCCACUGCAGUGGAUAAAUUUCUAUUAUUUUAUGUAACUAUAUGCUGUUGGUUUUAAGAAAAUAUUCUUGGUAAUACGAAGCUCUCCCCCAAAAUUAUUUUUGCAAUUUCUUAAAAAAAUCCUAAUACACAAUUUCUUUUUGGCAAGCCCAUUAGCUCUUCUUCUAAUUUUAGAUAGAUUGCAUUAUUUUAGAUUCUUUUCCCAUAUCCUUGUAAUAUCGUGAAAGACUGGACCUGACAUGGACAAUGUAUAAAUUAGACUAUUUUCUGGACCAAAUUGUUCCUGUAUUACAGAACUAAAGAAUGAUUCUGUCCUUAACACCCAAAAUAGAAAAUUGCAGCAAUUUUUUUUACAAUAUCUUUAAGAAACAUUUUGCAUCUAUAAUUAUGUCACAUUUAAUAUUACUAGAAAAAGUCCUUUGUUUUUGGGUUCUAACAAAUUAAAAGUUGUAUAUCAUUGUGAAACCAAAAGAGAAGCAAGUAACAAAUGAAUUAGGACCAUGGAAACGAAGCUGGAAUGAAGGAAGACUACCACAGCACUAUCUCAGAGGCCGACAAUUAUAAGAUUUUAAACAUGCUACAUUAAAUUCAACAAACUUUUUUUAAAAAGACCCUAGAAGCUUUUGAUCAGUAAGAUCCAUUCAGGCAGUCAUUUACUGUGUCAGUCACUGUUUGGGGCUCAGGGGAGUCACUGCUUAACAAAAGCACCCUUGCCACCUGUUCUCUUAGAGUUGCCUGCAGAGCUUACAAAGAAAUGAGGGAAACAGAUUCUAACAGGGAGCUGGUGCAAAAAAAAAAAAAAAAAGACUGCAAAAUAAAUUGCAGUCAUCCUGAGGCUAUGUGCAUGUGCAUUCAUAUGUAUGUAUACUUAUUUAUGUUUUAUGUAUAUGAAUGUAUACAUAUAUGAAUACAUGUGUUUAUGUAUAUACAUAUCUUUAGUACAAAUGUAUAUAGCCUGUCUUUUUGUUUGUUAUGUGCAUAUUUUCUUUUUUCUUUCCUAUUUUCUUUAAUGUUCUUUUUUUUUUUUUUUUUUUGAGGGUCACAGUGGAUGAUAAUCAUUCUCUUAUAAACUCAUUUGUUGUCAGUGGAAAGUAAAACUAUUUCAGGGUUGUGUCAGAAGGGAUCUCACUUGCUACUGGGGUUGUUUUUUGUUUGUUUUUUGUUUUUGUUUCCAACUCUUCUUUAAAAAUAGUCUAGUUUUAUUUUUGUAAAAUAUCAUACAGAUGUAGAUGUUUCUACAAAUACGUAUCUUAAUGUACACUUGGGUGUCUGGGGGAGAAAGGAGAGGGAAAUUUCCCUCUUUCUGUAAGUCUGGAUUUCUUGGCUUCAUUACAAGGACACAUAUAGUGUUUGCAACACUUUUAAAGUGUAUGUAGAGCAGUCCUCCGUGCUGAGAUCCGUGUGGAAGAGAAGAGGUUCACAUUUAUGGAAUUACGAACCUGGUGGAAACAUUCUGUUGCAGGAUGGUGAUAGAACUUGUGUGAAGCCCAUCCACAUCCCUUGAAACAAAACGUUUCAAAACGUACAUGAAAGCUAAUUCCACUGGAAAAAAGAAGGGAAGCUCUGGUGGGCCAGAAAACCUCCCAGCAAGUACUAAAAAGACAGAAAGCUGCUUUAUGAACUGUGGCUGACAAUGAAGUGUCAAUGAAGGUUCAUCCACUUUAACAAUGAUGUACCACUCUGGGGUGGGGGAUGUUGGCAGUGGGGGAGGGACAAAAGGGAUAUGGGAAAUCUCUACCUUCUCAUUUUGCUGUGCACCUAAGGGUGCUCUAAAUAAAUAAAUAAAUAAAUAAAUAAAUAAAUAAAUAAAUAAAUAAAUAAAUAGAUGGAGGUUUAUUUGUCUGUCUGUCUUAAAUGGAAAGCUGGGAUCAAUUCAACUCUAUGACUGAUCCAAACAUUCACAGAAUACUGCUAUAAAAGAUGGAGAGAGCUCCAGGAAAACCUUGGGUCAGUUCCAUCAUUCCCUGGGGCCCUCAGGUCGGGUAAUCACCCAGAGUGCUUAGGUAGAUGCUGAGGUCCAGCCCCGGCAAGGGUCCAGGGUGGUCCUGAAGGAGGAGUGGCAUCUGGCGAAAGAAGAAGAGUUGGGACGACAGGUUGCAAGUUAUGAGCAACCUCCAGAAGACAUCUCCCUGCCCCAGGAGGGCCCUUUAUUUUUAUACCUGUUUUACGGGUGUUUUUUCAGGUAGUUAAUGGAUAACUUCAAAGCCCAAAACUUUUUUGAUUUACAUAAUUUUCAAGAAUUACAACUUUUCUGACAUACAUUGAUUACCUAAGAUUUUGAGUACAUUGUUCAAAAUAUUUUUCUGUAACCUUAGUCAAUCAUGAUUAAGCUUUUAAGUUUUCACCUCAAUCACUAGGUGCUAGGCAAUGCAACUAGACUAUAAAAUGACUCCUGACUUAUUAUUCACUUCUAACUUUAAAGCAUACCUAUAAUUAUUUCAUUAACCUUUAACUUUAAAGCAUACUUACAAUUAUUGGUAAGCUUUCUUACUUCUAAACUAAAUACACUUAAAAUAGUGAAAAUCUAUUAUUUAAAAGCCUAUUACUCUGAAGUGCCUCUAAAAUAUAUCUAUGUUAAUUUUACAUUAUUCUAUUUUAAUUUCCAAGGUAAUUUCCUUUUUUCAUAUGACCUAUUCAACUGCUUUCUGAAAGAACUUCCCUGAUCCUUGGUCAAAGCACACCAUUUCUCAUGUCUUUGUAAUCUUUAACUAAAGGCAGGCUUUACACCUCAACCCAUUUGUCAUUUAUAUUAACUAUGUGUUUUCUAUUUUCAUCAUAAGUUUCUGCAUAAAGCAAAGGAGGGUAUAUUGGUUGGGGAAUGUAUUUUUAUUAGCCUCUUGUCCUCGAGGGGAUACCAUAAGCUACAUACGGCGGUCCUUGUACUGUCGGCACAGCAAUUGUUUUUCUGUAGCUAGGCUAUUGUACAGGUUGUGGCUUUAGGAUGGGGUUGGGGGGGUGGGGCUAGUGUAAAUUGUUAACCAUGAGAUAAAUAUUUCUUGUUGCUUAGGCUUGAGGAAUAACACCAUUGUUUGUAUCCUGAGAGACACUGAAACGUGCCUCAAGGCAUAUCUCAAUUGUAUCCUUAGUCUCAUUCUGGGAAUUUUCCUGCAAUCUCAGGCAAUAUGUACUUUUAUUAAUGAUUGACAUAUGCCCUGUUAUCCAUAUCAUGAGUAUCACAAACAAAACACUUAACAUUCCUAAUGAUUCCGGUUUCCAGAUGGUGCGGCCUUGCCACAGCAUCCCCCACGCUGUGACCCUGUCAGACAGCGGGUGCAGGAACACCUUCACCAGGUAGAGACCUCAGCAGCCAGACAGGAAGAUCAGAAAUGUGAGGUCUGUUUCUCCAACCAAGGUGAAGAGCAAAGCUUUACCAUAUUUAUUUGGCACACUUUGAGAAGAGUAUACUAAAGUGACUGACUAGCAAAACUGCAAAAUGCAUACAGCAUUUUAAAGAUCUGAUCUGAUACUGGAAACUUUCCUGUUGAAGUUUGAUUAUUUUUAUCUUGUGUUAUUCUGGAAACUGCUGUAAAAAAUGGUCUAAGGUGGAGGGAAGAUCUCAAUUAUUUAAUAAAAAAUUGGAGUGACGAUUGAGA
rnacentral:lncRNA from 1 species